rnacentral:sRNA from 1 species
ACUUAUUAUUUCCAAACGGCUGGUUCUUGACAUGUCUUCACUCUUCGGGUCAUAUCU